GAUGACAGCUGAGGGCUAACUGAUCCAGACAAAAACAGCUUUGCUCCAGAUACACUGCUGAGGCUAUUCUUUCACUCUGUGCCACAGAUCUACAAACCUGAGAGAAAUGGUGUGACUGAUCAUCAAUGCCUGCAGGUAUGUGGUGCAGAAGAUCCAGGCUGCAGUCAGACGAGAGGGGCAGCAAGAGAAAACAAGCACCACAGGUUGUAGCCAGGCAAAAGCACAAAGGGAUGGCAGGCUGAGCACUGAUGAGUCAACCUUGAUUCCCCGCCCGACAGAGACGCUCCAUGUGCUGCGUAAGGAAGAAUGUGGAUCCUGAAAGUAAAUUGAGAGCUGGAGGAUAGAGUGGAAGGUCCAUAAUGAGGAGACAAACGCAUAAAAAAUAUCCACACACACACACACACACACACACACACAGAAACACACAUUGUGGUUGAUGCUGUUCUUCAGCUUGCAAUUUAUAUCAAACAAUUAAACAGACUUGGUGAGCUGUGAGGCUUCAUCAUCUUUUCAAAUUCUGGCUUGGAAGGUAGUGUCAGACACAGCAGUUUUAAUUAUCUUCCCACAUUAGGAUGACUCUCAUAUGAUGUUGGUAAGCUGACUGUAGGUGGUUCUUCUCAAAUAUAAUGAAAACAUCAGCAAUCCGUGUUGCUGAUUGUUCUUCAAAUAUCAUCUUUCCCAUGAGAUUCAUAGGUUCAUUUAGUAGACUGACAGCCAAAUGUUUCUGUGUUCCCUCCACAAUCACAACCUCACAAACAAACACAGAUACAAAAAUUCAUAAAAACCUACACAAAUAAACUGAUUUGCAAUGGACUCCCACCUGCUUCUAGCUCUUGGUUUUCUUUCCCACUAUCCAGUGCAGAGAGCAGUCCGAGUUGGCAGAGAGAAUGAAAGCCUGAUCACCACUUCCCUUUCAAAGGAACUGAUCAGUCUGGAAAAUAUUGAAGACUCUGCUAAUGAAGCUGUGACAAGUCAUUUAUUCGUGUAUUCAUUGACCUGUUAUUUCUCUGUCAUUGUAAUACUUUUCAGUAAAAAAAUCUGUAAAAGUA